rnacentral:rRNA from 1 species
UUGAACGGCCAUAGUGGCGUGGUUUACCCGUUCCCAUUCCGAACACGGAAGUCAAGAACGCCAACGUUCUCAGGUGUACUGCACUUGUGUGUGGGAAACUGAGAAAGCUGUUCACC